rnacentral:rRNA from 1 species
AUACGGGGGGGGCGAGCGUUAUUCGGAAUUAUUGGGCGUAAAGCGCGCGUAGGCGGCCUGUCAAGUCAAAGGUGAAAUCCCUCGGCUCAACCGAGGAACUGCCUUUGAUACUGUCAGGCUUGAGGCCGGGAGGGGGUGGCGGAAUUCCCAGUGUAGCGGUGAAAUGCGUAGAUAUUGGGAGGAACACCGGUGGCGAAGGCGGCCACCUGGACCGGUUCUGACGCUGAAGUGCGAAAGCGUGGGUAGCAAACAGGAUUAGAAACCCCGGUAGUCC